rnacentral:misc_RNA from 1 species
AGAGGGCAAAGUAGUACUCAUAUCUGCAAUAAGAUGACAUAAUUGUCAAUUACGCAUGAUAGAUAUAAAAAUAUUUUUCUUUAAUCAAAAUACAAUAAACAUGUUAACAAGAUACAUUAGAUAUAAUAUGUAAUUUGCCCUGCACUCUCCCCAAAUUUAACAAAACAAAAUAGGAGAAUUCGUUAUAACUUUAACAUUGGGUUGAGCAAAACCAGUAAAGACAUGAUAUUUAUGUUACAUUCAGGUUGAUUAAGCAUCAAGCUCAUACUUUAUGGGAGGAAUUCUCCGGUUUUCAGCUGGACUGAUGCCAUUGAGCAGAGCUUUCCGUGAAUGUAUUAUAAAAUGCUCAGUUGGGGAUAGAGAAGAAACCUUAUAGAUAAAAUCACCUGAAAGUAGAAUAAACAACAGAGUCAAGAUACAAUCCUGAAUAUCCAUCUGUUCCAUGUCCAAUCUUAAAAAGGCAAU